rnacentral:tRNA from 1 species
AGCAGCGUGGCUCAGUGGAAAGAGCACGGGCUUGGGAGUCAGAGGUCAUGGGUUUGAAUCCCGGCUCUGCUA